rnacentral:rRNA from 1 species
ACCGUCAUGGGGGAAGCGGAUUGCGUUGAGUAAAAGGGAUGUUGUGUGUUCAGCCUUUGAGGUGCAUUGGCGCAACAACCCGAUCUGUCGUGGGUUCUGCGCGGUUGAUUUUGAACCGUGCAGGGCUGAGGGCUCCCUUUUAUAGGUGAGGACGAUUAGAUAGUGACGCGAUACGACCCGUCUUGAAACACGGACCAAGGAGUCUAGCGCUACUGCGAGUCAAAGGGUGCAAGCCUGAGGGCGCAGUGAAAGCGAGUUUGAAAACGAGCAGUUUGGGGCGGCAUGAGAUUGUUAAUUUCAAGUCCGACCUUGAGCAGUUGCGCUGGGACCCGAAAGAUGGUGAACUAUGCCGGAGUAGGGCAAAGCCAGAGGAAACUCUGGUGGAGGCUCGUAGCGGUGCUGACGUGCAAAUCGCUCGUCUGACUUGGGUAUAGGGGCGAAAGACUAAUCGAACCAUCUAGUAGCUGGUUCCCUCCGAAGUUUCUCUCAGGAUAGCGGGCCGACGGGUGUUGUUUUGUGUGGUAAAGCGAAUGAUUAGCGCACUCGGGGGCAAUAUGCCUUUGGGCGAUUCUCAAACUUUCAAUACGCAAGGGUGCCGCUGCUUGGUUGAGCGGCACCGGCAAAAACGUCGGCCCUGUGGGCCACUUUUGGUAAGCAGAACUGGCGAUACGGGAUGAACCGUAAGUGUGGUUAA